rnacentral:misc_RNA from 1 species
GAUGAAGAACGUAGCGAAAUGCGAUAAGUAAUGUAAAUUGCAGAAUUCAGUGAAUCAUCGAAUCUUUGAACGCACAUUGCGCCCGCCAGCACUCUGGCGGGCAUGCCUGUUCGAGCGUCAUUUCAACCAUCAAGCCCCCAGGGGCUUGUGCUGGGGCCCUGCGGCUGCCCGCAGGCCCUGAAAACCAGUGGCGGGCUCGCUAGUCACACCGAGCGCAGUAGCACAUCUCGCUCAGGGCGUGCGGCGGGCUCCUGCCGUGAAACCCCCCACUGUAACCCCAAAGGUUGACCUCGGAUCAGGUAGGAAUACCCGCUGAACUUAAGCAUAUCAAUAAGCGGAGGA